UGAUACAUGCACAGGACAUGCAGGUUUGUUACGCUGGAAAAUGCAUACCAUGGUGGUUUCCUGCACCUAUCAACUCAUCACUGAGGUAUUAAGCCCUACAUGCAUUAGCUAUUUAUCCUGAUGCGAUUCCUCCCCUUUUUACUUUUUCUAAGGGGUUGCAACCUGCAGUCUGGCCAUCCUGCAGGCUGGGAAGCACAGCCUCUGGCAGAAACUGCAAUGGAGCACUUCAGAGAAGGAAGGACAAGACAGGAAUUUCAGCUGAACAGAGCCAGAUUCUCUGCUAUGUCAGAGAUAGUCAAGUGGAUAAAUGGUUUUAAUCAGACAUCGUACAUACUGGGUAGGACGGACUGAUUUGAAGAAAACACUUUAAGGAUGGCAAACACCUGGCAUAUGUGAGUCUUGCUUUGUUGCCCAGGCUGGAGUGCAAUGGUGUGAUCUCAGUUCACUGCAAUUUCUACCUCCCAGGCUGAAGUGAUUCUCCUGCGUUAGCCUCCCGCG
rnacentral:lncRNA from 13 species